rnacentral:rRNA from 1 species
GAUGAACGCUGGCGGCGUGCCUAAUACAUGCAAGUCGAGCGAACAGACCAGGAGCUUGCUCCUCUGACGUUAGCGGGGGACGGGUGAGUCACACGUGGAUAACCUACCUAUCCGACUGGGAUAACUUCGGGAAACCGUAGCUAAUACCGGAUAAUAUAUUGAACCGCAUGGUUCAAUAGUGAAAGACGGUUUUGCGGUGAGUUAAAGACGAAUACGCGCCGCAUUAGUUAGUUGGUAAGGUAACGGCUUACCAAGGCAACGAGGGGUAGCCGACCUGAGAGGGUCAUCGGCCACACUGGAACUGAGACACGUCCCAGACUCUGACAGGAGGCAGCAGUAGGGAAUCUUCCGCGAAGCGCGAGAGCCUGACGGAGCAACGCCGCGUGAGUGAUGAAGGUCUUCGGAUCGUAGAACUAUGUUAUUAGUGAAGAUCAAAAGUGUAUGUAACUAUGCACGUCUUGACGGUACCUAGUCAGAAAGCCACGGCUAACUACGUG